UACGUAGGGUGCAAGCGUUAAUCGGAAUUACUGGGCGUAAAGCGCGCGUAGGCGGUGAUGUAAGACAGGUGUGAAAUCCCCGGGCUUAACCUGGGAACUGCAUUUGUGACUGCAUCGCUGGAGUGCGGCAGAGGGGGAUGGAAUUCCGCGUGUAGCAGUGAAAUGCGUAGAUAUGCGGAGGAACACCGAUGACGAAGGCAAUCCCCUGGGCCUGCACUGACGCUCAUGCACGAAAGCGUGGGGAGCAAACAGG
rnacentral:rRNA from 1 species